rnacentral:rRNA from 1 species
GAUGAACGCUGGCGGCGUGCCUAAUACAUGCAAGUCGAGCGAAUGGAUUAAGAGCUUGCUCUUAUGAAGUUAGCGGCGGACGGGUGAGUAACACGUGGGUAACCUGCCCAUAAGACUGGAAUAACUCCGGGAAACCGGGGCUAAUACCGGAUAUUAUUUUGAACUGCAUGGUUCAAAAUUGAAAGGAGGCUUCGGCUGUCACUAAUGGAUGGACCCGCGUGCCAUUAGCUAGUUGGUGAGGUAACGGCUCACCAAGGCAACGAUGCGUGGCCGACCUGGGAGGGUGAUCGGCCACACUGGGACUGAGACACGGCCCAGACCCCAACGGGAGGCAGCAGUAGGGAAUCUUCCGCAAUGGACGAAAGUCUGACGGAGCAACGCCGCGUGAGUGAUGAAGGCUUUCGGGUCGUAAAACUCUGUUGUUAGGGAAGAACAAGUGCUAGUUGAAUAAGCUGGCACCUUGACGGUACCUAACCAGAAAGCCACGGCUAACUACGUGCCAGCCGCCGCCGUAA